GACGAACGCUGGCGGCGUGCUUAACACAUGCAAGUCGAACGCUGAAGCUCAGCUUGCUGGGUGGAUGAGUGGCGAACGGGUGAGUAACACGUGAGUAACCUGCCCCCUUCUUUGGGAUAACGCCCGGAAACGGGUGCUAUUACUGGAUAUUCACUGAUCUUCGCAUGGGGGUUGGUGGAAAGGUUUUUUCUGGUGGGGGAUGUGCUCGCGGCCUAUCAGCUUGUUGGUGGGGUGAUGGCCUACCAAGGCUUUGACGGGUAGCCGGCCUGAGAGGGUGACCGGUAACAUUGGGACUGAGAUACGGCCCAGACUCCUACGCGAGGCAGCAGUGGGGAAUAUUGCCCAAUGGGCGAAAGCCUGAUGCAGCGACGCUGCGUGAGGGCUGGGGGCCUUCGGGUUGUAAACCUCUUUCGCUAAUGGUCAAGCCGAAACAUUGGUUGUGGUGAGGGUAGUGGGUAAAGAAGCGCCGGCUAACUACGUG
rnacentral:rRNA from 1 species